GACGAACGCUGGCGGCGUGCUUAACACAUGCAAGUCGAACGAAGUGGCGAACGGGUGAGUAACGCGUAAUCAACCUGCCCUUCAGAGGGGGACAACAGUUGGAAACGACUGCUAAUACCGCAUACUGAAGGCGGGGAUUACGUCUGAUUAGCUAGUUGGAGGGGUAAAGGCCAACCACGGCGAUGAUCAGUAGCCGGGCUGAGAGGAGGAACGGCCACAUUGGGACUGAGACACGGCCCAGACUCCUACGGGAGGCAGCAGUGGGGAAGCUUCCGCAAUGUACGAAAGUCUGACGGAGCAACGCCGCGUGAGUGAUGACGGCCUUCGGGUUGUAAAGCUCUGUUAAUCGGGACGCGGUACCGGAAUAGAAAGCCACGGCUAACUACGUGCCAGCAGCCGCGGUAAUAC
rnacentral:rRNA from 1 species